rnacentral:rRNA from 1 species
GGUUAAGUGACUAAGCGUACACGGUGGAUGCCUAGGCAGUCAGAGGCGAUGAAGGGCGUGCUAAUCUGCGAAAAGCGUCGGUAAGGUGAUAUGAACCGUUACAACCGGCGAUACCCGAAUGGGGAAACCCAGUGUGUUUCGACACACUAUCAUGUCAUGAAUACAUAGUGGCAUGAGGCGAACCGGGGGAACUGAAACAUCUAAGUACCCCGAGGAAAAGAAAUCAACCGAGAUUCCCCCAGUAGCGGCGAGCGAACGGGGAGGAGCCCAGAACCUGAAUCGGCUUGUGUGUUAGUGGAAGCGUCUGGAAAGUCGCGCAGUAAAGGGUGAUAGCCCCGUACACUAAAAUGCACAGGUCGUGAGUUCGAUGAGUAGGGCGGGACACGUGACAUCCUGUCUGAAUAUGGGGGGACCAUCCUCCAAGGCUAAAUACUCCUGACUGACCGAUAGUGAACCAGUACCGUGAGGGAAAGGCGAAAAGAACCCCGGCGAGGGGAGUGAAAUAGAACCUGAAACCGUGUACGUACAAGCAGUGGGAGCACCUUCGUGGUGUGACUGCGUACCUUUUGUAUAAUGGGUCAGCGACUUAUAUUUUGUAGCAAGGUUAACCGUAUAGGGGAGCCGUAGGGAAACCGAGUCUUAACUGGGCGAAUAGUUGCAAGGUAUAGACCCGAAACCCGGUGAUCUAGCCAUGGGCAGGUUGAAGGUUGGGUAACACUAACUGGAGGACCGAACCGACUAAUGUUGAAAAAUUAGCGGAUGACUUGUGGCUGGGGGUGAAAGGCCAAUCAAACCGGGAGAUAGCUGGUUCUCCCCGAAAGCUAUUUAGGUAGCGCCUCGUGAACUCAUCUUCGGGGGUAGAGCACUGUUUCGGCUAGGGGGCCAUCCCGGCUUACCAAACCGAUGCAAACUCCGAAUACCGAAGAAUGUUAUCACGGGAGACACACGGCGGGUGCUAACGUCCGUCGUGAAGAGGGAAACAACCCAGACCGCCAGCUAAGGUCCCAAAGUCAUGGUUAAGUGGGAAACGAUGUGGGAAGGCAUAGACAGCCAGGAUGUUGGCUUAGAAGCAGCCAUCAUUUAAAGAAAGCGUAAUAGCUCACUGGUCGAGUCGGCCUGCGCGGAAGAUGUAACGGGGCUAAACCAUGCACCGAAGCUGCGGCAGCGACGCUUAGGCGUUGUUGGGUAGGGGAGCGUUCUGUAAGCCGUUGAAGGUGGCCUGUGAGGGUUGCUGGAGGUAUCAGAAGUGCGAAUGCUGACAUAAGUAACGAUAAAGCGGGUGAAAAGCCCGCUCGCCGGAAGACCAAGGGUUCCUGUCCAACGUUAAUCGGGGCAGGGUGAGUCGACCCCUAAGGCGAGGCUGAAAAGCGUAGUCGAUGGGAAACAGGUUAAUAUUCCUGUACUUGGUGUUACUGCGAAGGGGGGACGGAGAAGGCUAGGCUAGCCGGGCGACGGUUGUCCCGGUUUAAGCGUGUAGGGGGUGUGACCUGGUAAAUCCGGUUGCAUAUCAACCCUGAGGCGUGAUGACGAUGCACUACGGUGCAGAAGUAGUUGAUGCCCUGCUUCCAGGAAAAGCCUCUAAGCUCUAGGUAACAUUGAAUCGUACCCCAAACCGACACAGGUGGUCAGGUAGAGAAUACCAAGGCGCUUGAGAGAACUCGGGUGAAGGAACUAGGCAAAAUGGUGCCGUAACUUCGGGAGAAGGCACGCUGGCAUGUAGGUGAAGUCCCUUGCGGAUGGAGCUGAAGCCAGUCGAAGAUACCAGCUGGCUGCAACUGUUUAAUAAAAACACAGCACUGUGCAAACACGAAAGUGGACGUAUACGGUGUGACGCCUGCCCGGUGCUGGAAGGUUAAUUGAUGGGGUCAGCCGCAAGGCGAAGCUCUUGAUCGAAGCCCCAGUAAACGGCGGCCGUAACUAUAACGGUCCUAAGGUAGCGAAAUUCCUUGUCGGGUAAGUUCCGACCUGCACGAAUGGCGUAAUGAUGGCCAGGCUGUCUCCACCCGAGACUCAGUGAAAUUGAACUCGCUGUGAAGAUGCAGUGUACCCGCGGCAAGACGGAAAGACCCCGUGAACCUUUACUAUAGCUUGACACUGAACAUUGAGCCUUGAUGUGUAGGAUAGGUGGGAGGCUUUGAAGCGUGGACGCCAGUCUGCGUGGAGCCAUCCUUGAAAUACCACCCUUUAAUGUUUGAUGUUCUAACUCGGCCCCAUAAUCUGGGGUGAGGACAGUGUCUGGUGGGUAGUUUGACUGGGGCGGUCUCCUCCCAAAGAGUAACGGAGGAGCACGAAGGUUAGCUAAUCACGGUCGGACAUCGUGAGGUUAGUGCAAAGGCAUAAGCUAGCUUGACUGCGAGAGUGACGGCUCGAGCAGGUACGAAAGUAGGUCUUAGUGAUCCGGUGGUUCUGAAUGGAAGGGCCAUCGCUCAACGGAUAAAAGGUACUCCGGGGAUAACAGGCUGAUACCGCCCAAGAGUUCAUAUCGACGGCGGUGUUUGGCACCUCGAUGUCGGCUCAUCACAUCCUGGGGCUGAAGUAGGUCCCAAGGGUAUGGCUGUUCGCCAUUUAAAGUGGUACGCGAGCUGGGUUUAGAACGUCGUGAGACAGUUCGGUCCCUAUCUGCCGUGGGCGUUGGAAGAUUGAGAGGGGUUGCUCCUAGUACGAGAGGACCGGAGUGAACGCACCACUGGUGUUCGGGUUGUCAUGCCAAUGGCAUUGCCCGGUAGCUAAGUGCGGAAAAGAUAAGCGCUGAAAGCAUCUAAGCGCGAAACUUGCCUCAAGAUGAGUCUUCCCUGGGCCUUUAAGUUCCCUGAAGGAACGUUUAAGACUAAGACGUUGAUAGGCUGGGUGUGUAAGUGCAGCGAUGCAUUGAGCUAACCAGUACUAAUGAUCCGUGAGGCUUAACCUU